GAACACUCGGCCCAGCGGGCAAACAUGCCGGCUCCGGCUCCGCGCACCUGCUGACACCUUUCGAAGCACUUUCACGUGUGAACCGAAGUCGUCUUGCCGAACUCCUUACUUUCUCAUUUCAGUCCUCGCCUUUUUCAUCUUCCGUAGGCGAUCAGAAGGGAUUGGACGAUCCCAAUGCGUUGCCCUCCUUCGCAAUACCGGAACUAUCUGACCGAGCUCCAUCAACACAGAAAGCGGAAGGGACAGCAGAUACGGAUAGACUGGAUCCAGAAAGGGAUUUCAGCCAGUCCUUGCCUAUUGCUGGGCUGGUUGUUUUGUCACGGUCCGAUUAGUAGAAGGUGAGUGAGUAAGACGAGGCCCCCGAAGCGUAAUGUAGAGCUAUACUGCUCUUGUUUUUCCUUCCGCCCUGCUUAGGAGAACUUUGUCUAGAACCCACUUUAGCUAGCUUUCGAGGAUACCAUUACAGAUGAGUGAAG
rnacentral:lncRNA from 1 species